rnacentral:rRNA from 1 species
CCUACGGGGUGCAGCAGUGAGGAAUAUUGGUCAAUGGGCGGAAGCCUGAACCAGCCAAGUAGCGUGCGGGAUGAAGGCCCUACGGGUCGUAAACCGCUUUUGCACGGGGAUAACACCCUCCACGUGUGGAUGUCUGCAGGUACCGUGCGAAUAAGCGCCGGCUAAUUCCGUGCCAGCAGCCGCGGUAAUACGGAAGGCCCGAGCGUUAUCCGGAUUCAUUGGGCUUAAAGGGAGCGUAGGCGGGCGUUUAAGUCAGCGGUAAAAGCGCGGGGCUCAACCGCGCCGCGCAAUUGAAACUGGACGUCUUGAGUUCACAACAGGCAGGCGGAAUGCGUGGUGUAGCGGUGAAAUGCAUAGAUAGCGCGAGGAACCCCGAUUGCGAAGGCAGCCUGCCGGGGUGGGACUGACGCUGAGGCUCGAAGGUGUGGGUAUCGAACAGGAUUAGAUACCCGGGUAGUC